CUCAGCAGGAUGGUGGAAUCUGCAAUCAUAAAGAAUGACCUACAAUUGAUAUACAUACAUAUUGACCGGUGCUUUAAGUGCAGUGUAUUUUAAUCAGAAUUAAUUGCUCUCAUAUCUGGAAUGUGGUUCAUGUAUAGGACUUUUAUUUUUAUUUAAUCAGGUGUGUCGAUUUCAAGUGUGAAGACAGCUUCCAUGAGGAAUUUGAGGAAAUAGUCCGGACCGUUCUUGGCAACUUGAACAAUCUCAUGCCCUUCUUCUCCACCCACUUCACUGUCUAUCCAUAUAAGAAGCCAUGGAGGAAUUUCACUGAACCCGGCCUCACCAGGCAGAGAGUCUAUCCUCACGUUCUUGUCCUCUACCUGGAAGGAAACGGUGAUAAUGAGCCAGAAUUAGCGGAACACCUGAAAGGACGGCAUGCCCUCAGCCAUUCAGACACAAGGCCCCAGGCAACGACGAUCCAAUCUGCUGCAGAAGCUAUUUUAAACUUAACAAGCUGUAUUGUGUUUUAGGACAUUAAGGUCGUCUCGAUUUCUUAUCAAGACAAUCAGACGAAGAGUGGCUUCACAGGGGAAAACUUUUGAUUAUAAGUAUCAGCAUGGCAGAAUCAGCUCCCUCUAAUUGGCUGAGGAGUUAAAUGCUUGUUUUCAGGUUUUGAAGCGAGUCCUGCUGUGAUAUUAAACUGUGCUUGUGAAUUUCGAUUGGAAAAAAAUGGCAUACCCAUAAGGCCCUGCACCAGCAUGGUGCCUUCUCUCACAUUCACACUGAUUUUUUUUUUUUCU